UCCGAUUUAUCACCGGCAGUCUCCUUAGAGUUCCCACCAUUAUGUGCUGGCAACUAAGGACAGGGGUUGCGCUCGUUGCGGGACUUAACCCAACAUCUCACGACACGAGCUGACGACAACCAUGCACCACCUGUAUGCAAGCUCCGAAGAGCUAUACUAUCUCUAGUAUAUUCCUGCAUAUGUCAAGCCCUGGUAAGGUUCUUCGCGUUGCUUCGAAUUAAACCACAUACUCCACUGCUUGUGCGGGCCCCCGUCAAUUCCUUUGAGUUUCAACCUUGCGGUCGUACUCCCCAGGUGGGAUACUUAAUGCGUUUGCGGCGGCACAGAGUGCUUAAACACCCUACACCUAGUAUCCAUCGUUUACAGUGUGGACUAC
rnacentral:misc_RNA from 1 species